rnacentral:rRNA from 1 species
AGAGUUUGAUCCUGGCUCAGGACGAACGUUGGCGGCGCGCYUAAUGCAUGCAAGUCGAACGAGAACCAGUGAGUUCGUAAGAACCCGCUGGGGACAGUGGCGAACGGGUGCGUAACACGUGAGAAACCUGCCCUGGAGACCGGGAUAGCGCGGGGAAACCCGCAUUAAUACCGGAUACCUUCACCGGACCGCAUGGUCUGAUGAAGAAAUGGUCCGCCGCUCCAGGAUGGUCUCGCGGCCUAUCAGCUUGUUGGUGAGGUAACGGCUCACCAAGGCUACGACGGGUAGCUGGUCUGAGAGGACGAUCAGCCACACUGGGACUGAGACACGGCCCAGACUCCUACGGGAGGCAGCAGCAGGGAAYVUUGCACAAUGGGCGAAAGCCUGAUGCAGCGACGCCGCGUGCGGGAUGAAGGCCUUCGGGUUGUAAACCGCUUUCAGGAGGGAAGAAAAUGACGGUACCUCCAGAAGAAGGCCCGGCCAACUACGUGCCAGCAGCCGCGGUAAUACGUAGGGGCCAAACGUUGUCCGGAAUUAUUGGGCGUAAAGAGCUCGUAGGCGGCUUGACAAGUCGGACGUGAAAACCCGGGGCUCAACCCCGGGACGCCGUUCGAAACUGUCAUGGCUAGGGUCCGGUAGAGGUGAGUGGAAUUCUAGGUGUAGCGGUGAAAUGCGCAGAUAUCUAGAGGAACACCAGUAGCGAAGGCGGCUCACUGGGCCGGUACCGACGCUGAGGAGCGAAAGCAUGGGGAGCAAACAGGAUUAGAUACCCUGGUAGUCCAUGCCGUAAACGUUGAACACUAGGUGUGGCGGACUUAUCCACGUCUGCUGUGCCGCAGCUAACGCAUUAAGUGUUCCGCCUGGGGAGUACGGCCGCAAGGCUAAAACUCAAAGGAAUUGACGGGGCCCCGCACAAGCGGCGGAGCAUGCGGCUUAAUUCGAUGCAACCCGAAGAACCUUACCUGGACUUGACAUCAUGGGUCUACCUGUAGAGAUACGGGGUGCUUUUGCGCCCAUGACAGGUGGUGCAUGGCUGUCGUC